GCAGAUUUAGCUGGUUUCUAGUGGCGGACGGGUGAGUAACGCGUGGGUAACCUGCCCUAUACAGGGGGAUAACAACCAGAAAUGGUUGCUAAUACCGCAUAAGCGCACAGGACCGCAUGGUCCGGUGUGAAAAACUCCGGUGGUAUAGGAUGGACCCGCGUUGGAUUAGCCAGUUGGCAGGGUAACGGCCUACCAAAGCGACGAUCCAUAGCCGGCCUGAGAGGGUGAACGGCCACAUUGGGACUGAGACACGGCCCAGACUCCUACGGGAGGCAGCAGUGGGGAAUAUUGCACAAUGGGGGAAACCCUGAUGCAGCGACGCCGCGUGAAGGAAGAAGUAUCUCGGUAUGUAAACUUCUAUCAGCAGGGAAGAUAGUGACGGUACCUGACUAAGAAGCCCCGGCUAACUACGUGCCAGCAGCCGCGGUAAUACGUAGGGGGCAAGCGUUAUCCGGAUUUACUGGGUGUAAAGGGAGCGUAGACGGAUUAGCAAGUCUGAUGUGAAAGGCAGGGGCUCAACCCCUGGACUGCAUUGGAAACUGCCAGUCUUGAGUGCCGGAGAGGUAAGCGGAAUUCCUAGUGUAGCGGUGAAAUGCGUAGAUAUUAGGAGGAACACCAGUGGCGAAGGCGGCUUACUGG
rnacentral:rRNA from 1 species